rnacentral:rRNA from 1 species
CCUACGGGAGGCAGCAGUGAGGAAUAUUGGUCAAUGGACGAGAGUCUGAACCAGCCAAGUAGCGUGAAGGAUGACUGCCCUAUGGGUUGUAAACUUCUUUUAUAAAGGAAUAAAACGAGGCACGUGUGCCUUUUUGCAUGUACUUUAUGAAUAAGGAUCGGCUAACUCCGUGCCAGCAGCCGCGGUAAUACGGAGGAUCCGAGCGUUAUCCGGAUUUAUUGGGUUUAAAGGGAGCGUAGAUGGGUUGUUAAGUCAGUUGUGAAAGUUUGCGACUCAACCGUAAAAUUGCAAUUGAUACUGGCAGUCGUGAGUACAGUUGAGGUAGGCGGAAUUCGUGGUGUAGCGGUGAAAUGCUUAGAUAUCACGAAGAACCCCGAUUGCGAAGGCAGCUUACUAAACUGUGACUGACAUUGAUGCUCGAAAGUGUGGGUAUCAAACAGGAUUAGAUACCCUAGUAGUC